rnacentral:rRNA from 1 species
UCGAACGGUAGCACAGAGAGCUUGCUCUCGGGCGACGAGUGGCGGACGGGUGAGAAGCUGGGAAACUGCCUGAUGGAGGGGGAUAACUACUGGAAAGGNAGCCAAUACCGCAUAACGUCGCAAGACCAAAGAGGGGGACCUUCGGGCCUCUUGCCAUCAGAUGUGCCCAGAUGGGAUUAGUUAGUAGGUGGGGUAAUGGCUCACCUAGGCGACGAUCCCUAGCUGGUCUGAGAGGAUGACCAGCCACACUGGAACUGAGACACGGUCCAGACUCCUACGGGAGGCAGCAGUGGGGAAUAUUGCACAAUGGGCGCAAGCCUGAUGCAGCCAUGCCGCGUGUAUGAAGAAGGCCUUCGGGUUGUAAAGUACUUUCAGCGGGGAGAAAGGUGUUGUGGUUAAUAACCGCAGCAAUUGACGUUACCCGCAGAAGAAGCACCGGCUAACUCCGUGCCAGCAGCCGCGGUAAUACGGAGGGUGCAAGCGUUAAUCGGAAUUACUGGGCGUAAAGCGCACGCAGGCGGUCUGUCAAGUCGGAUGUGAAAUCCCCGGGCUCAACCUGGGAACUGCAUUCNAAACUGGCAGGCUAGAGUCUUGUAGAGGGGGGUAGAAUUCCAGGUGUAGCGGUGAAAUGCGUANAGAUCUGGAGGAAUACCGGUGGCGAAGGCGGCCCCCUGGACAAAGACUGAC